rnacentral:tRNA from 1 species
UGGCUCAGUGGUAGAGUACUUGCCUCACAUGCAUGAGGCCCUGGGUUCGAUUCCUCAG